AAACCAGCUCCUAAAAUGCCUAAAAUUUGCCCACUCAUACUCACUCUCACUUUCACUCGCUGCUAGGAGGACGGGGACGAGAAUGUCAAGCUUCUUACCAGAGGAGAUCAUAGAGAACAUACUCACAAGGUUACCCGUCAAAUCCAUUUCAAGAUUCAAGUGCGUUUCAAAAAAUUGGUAUCAUUUUUUUCAAAACCCUAAUUUUAUCAAAAAUCAUCUCAACCAUGCUAUUCAAAUGAAAAAAUUCAACAUCUUGGUUACCAACCAAGGAGACAUUGAUGAUACAAAUACAGAACCUUAUAUCACUUCUAUAGAUUAUAUUGUUCUACCAUCAACAUCAUCACCAUUUGUAGGUCAUGCUCUUAAUAUUGAUUAUCCGUACAUGGACCGAAAAUGUAAGCGUCAAAUUCUAGGUUCUUCAAAUGGUUUGGUUUGCAUACAACCUUGGGGAGAAGAGUCUAGAACUAUGUGCAUCUGGAACCCGGCUACUCGAGAAUAUAAAGAGGUACCAGAACCUUCAUGGAAAUCAAAACAUGGUAAUUUUGUUUAUGGGUUUGGUUUUGAUUGCAAGAAUGGUGAUUAUAAGGUGUUAAGAUUUGGGAGUUUUAUAUUAUUAGGUGAAGAAUCUGAAGCUAGUGUUUACUCAUUAGCUUCGAGUUCAUGGAAGAAACUUGGUUCCAUUCCUUAUAAUUUCUCUUUUAAUAUAACAAAGGGGUUUCUUCUUGAUGGUGUUCUUCAUUGGGUUGCUGUUCCUAUUGGACCCAUACCUAGAUCUAGUGUUAUCGUUUGUUAUAAUAUUUCUGAUGAGACAUUCUAUAAUGUGCCAUUACCUAACGAAAACUUAAGUGAUGUUGAGAACAUUUGCAUGGUAUAUUUGGGCGUUUGGGAAGGGAAGCUUUGCCUACUUCAUAAGAAUCACAUGGAGGAGGAUCCUGAUACAUGCACGCAUCAAAACGAUCACAUUGAGGUGUGGACAAUGAUGGAUAACAAGUGGAGUAAGGAUUGGAAGAUUACUGCACAUAUGGCAGAUAUGGAAUAUGUAAGUGCAAUUCAAACUUUACCAAACGGAGAGAUCCUUUGUGAUGGUGGACCGAUGGUGGAUGAGGACGGCAUCGGUCUGUUGGCAUAUGACCCUAAUCUUGAAAGAGUUAGAGCUCUGAAGAUACAUGGUUUCCCAGAGUGUUAUGAUAUGGAGACUUAUAUUGAGACCUUAACAGCACUCAACUCCGGUACUUAUGUUGGGGAAGAAGUAAAUCAAGAUAGAGAAGAAACGGAGAAUAAUGGCUGAUGCAGAUAUGGAAUUACGGAUCAAAAAAAUAACGGGGUAGAUAAGAGAGGAGGAAGAUAUGGUAGGAAGGGAUGGUGUCAAUCUUUUUUUAUGUUUUUGCGCUAAAGAAAUGGAAAUGGAAAUGGUUCAUUGCGAGCGAUGAUGUGUUAUAUGUAGCAGUGGAUUAUCCAAGAAUCAGUCUGAGUUCAGGCGCACGGUGGUAUGUCGUCAUUUUGGAGACCAGUGUGGUAGAGUGCUGAAGCAGAAAGUUCGUCUGGAAAGAAGCAGUUCCAUGGAUUGCUGAGAUGAUUGAAGACUGUUAAUAUCUCUUUUGAAGGAUAUAAAUAACAAAGAAAUGAAGCAGUAUAAAAGUUAAGCAGCAUAUGUUUAAGAACUUGUCGUUCUUGUCAUACCAGAUGGUCUGUCAGACUGGUUAUGCCAUUCUAGUUGCUUGGUAGUCCGUAUAGCUUGUAGUAGUAAGGUUAUAUCAACCAGCAUAAGCUAUGGUUUGCCAGCAUCCAAAGAAAAUAUUUGGGGAGCGAAAAAUGAGGUGUUAGAGAGGAUGGCUCAGGUCAAAUCCUGACAUUGGAAUUGCAAGUCUCGGCAUACCUCUGUUAGGAAACCCUUGCUAGUUUUGUAAAUCAUUCCUGGCAUAUCAAUUGACAAUUACUGCAAUAAGCUGAUAGUAAAAUUGUGGUAUAAGGUUUAAUUCUGAACAGCUGGUUAAUUGGUGGCUUUACUUUUACCUAAUAGGAUGAUUAACUUUUUUUCACUGCCCAAAUUAAUCCAUGAUAUCUCUCAGCUUAUCAAUGCAAAUCAGGUUUAACAUAUGUCUAAAACAAGCUCCCAGUUUUUAACUCCAAUUCUUAUCCACUCAACCUUAUCUUUCAUCAGAAGCAUGUGCAGAGGAAUCACAGUGAACCUUCCCAGCUGACAGAUUAAAUAGAGGCAAAAAUGGACAAAAAACUUCGCAACUUGCAAGC